rnacentral:snoRNA from 15 species
CACUCCUGAUUCUGCCCCAUGUUCUUUCUCUUCCAUAGAUUAAUGGGUUCUGUUUAUGGAGAAGAUAAAGCUGGUGAAUGGUGCGCCUGCGCCUUUGAUACAACAGUGGGAUGCACUUCAUUUACCAGAUCGUGAGAACACAUUAAACGACUUGUCUGACUUUAUUUUCGAAUAUCCAAUAGCCUGACGAGACUUGAUGUGCCUCUAUAUUU